rnacentral:tRNA from 1 species
GUGGCUAUGGCUCAAUGGUAGAGCACCUGGUUGUGGCCCAGGAGGUUGUGGGUUCGAGCCCCACUAGCCACC